rnacentral:lncRNA from 1 species
AGGUGUGUGAGUGGUUGUGUGUGGGUCCUAAGGUGUGUGAGAGGUUGUGUGUGGGUCCUAAGGUGUGUGAGUGGUUGUGUGUGGGUCCUAAGGUGUGUGAGAGGUUGUGUGAGUCCUGAGGUGUGUGAGAGGAUUGUGUGUGAGUCCUGAGGUGUGUGAGGGGUUAUGUAUGGGCCCCUGAGGUGUGUGAGGGGUUUUAUGUGUGUCCUGAGAAGUGUGAUGAAUUGUGUGGGUCCUGAGGUGUGUGAGGGUUUGUGUAUGAGACCCUGAGGUGUGUCAACAUUGUGUGUGAGACCCUGAGGUGUGUGAGGGGUUGUGUGUGGAUUCCUGAGGUGUGUGAGGGCUUGUGUGUAUGAGCCUGAGGUGUGUGGGUUCCUUAUAUGGGUUCCUGAGGUGUGUGAGGGGUUGUGUGUGUGUCCUGAGGUGUGUGAGGGGUUGUGCUUGGGUCCUGGGGUGUGUGAGUGGGUGUUUGUCCUGAGGUGUGUGAGAGGUUGUGUGUGUGUCCUGAGGUGUGUGAGAGUUUGCGUAGGUUCCUGAGGUAUGUGAGGGGUUGUGUGUGUCCUGAGGUGUGUGAGAGGUUGUGUGAGUCCCUGGGGUGUGUGAGAGUUUGUGUAGGUUUCUGAGGUGUGUGAGAGUUUGUGUAGCUUCCUGAGGUGUGUGAGAGGUUGUGUGAGUCCCUGAGGUGCGUGAGGGGUUGUGUGUGUCCUGAAGUGUGUGAGAGGUUGUGUAGGUUUCAGGCUUUGCAGCUCCCCUCCUGAGCCUCAGCCGGGCGGCUCCCAGGGCAGGGUCCCCCCAUCCCUGUCUCUGCUGCGGCUCUCUGUGUGUUGCUCUUCCCGGCCUGGCCAGGACAUUUUCUUCAUUGAGUCUUCCCCAGAUUCUCACCCUGCAGCAACCACGUGCGGCAGCAGUAGGACCCAACUGAUUAGAAAGGAAAUUACAUAGUCAGUGACCAGCUGAGACUGAGUACGGACAGAGGAAGAAGCUAACUUACAUCUAAAGAGACCUGAAGUCAGGAGACAUUUCUAGAUAAACCCCUCAGCCAGAUAACAUCAACCCAUGACUUCCAAUACCAUUGCUGAAGAGGUCACAGAGGAGAGAGAAUCCUGAGAAGAUUUUUAAAAUCUGAAAGUUCUUGUAUUAAAAGAAGUGGGAAGUUUCUUGGUCUAAACUCUCAGCUGUGAGUACUAAUUUGUGGCGUGAUGGUGAGGUGAAAUGGCAGAGGCCCAUGGCACAUCAUUGCAGAAUAUGCGUUAGACUUUCACAAGUCAUCAGUCAUGAAUUUCAGGAUCUGGCUGCUUGUCUUCAUGGGAGACGUCAGGAACCCACCACUUAACCACACAAGGGCCCAACUCAUCGAGCAUUACAGCUUGGGGAAGAAACGCCAGCCGCGAGCCAGAGAAACAAAAACGAGGGGCUGUCCCUAAAAUGCAGGAUCCAAGGGCCUGGAGCUGGAGAGAAAUCAGGCAGCACCUCACAGAAUCCAGGCUCACAGAAAGUCUGUUUCGAUCAGAAUUUAAAACAACCCUCUUCCUGCUGCAACUCUUCAGGCCACUGACAAGGUGACAGGAUCACAUUUUGUACAGGAUACAAACAUAUUCCCUAUGGGUGGACAAAACGACCCCGUAGCCCAUCUACACCAAGGAGCUGCACCUGUGCCCUGUGUAGCCAGAUGCAAUUUUCUAUUAUUGGAAAAUCCACUUUAAGUUGUUCCUUAGCAAAUUCUUCCCAAGUACUGUUUCCUUUCCUCAAUUCCUGGCCUAGCAAGUCUAGAAAGAAAACAAAAAGAAUGUAAAAUGUUCUUGGUUGACUUUACUCUUAAUUACUAAAAAGCAAACAGAGAAAAUUAAAAUCAAACACAUGCAAAAAAUUCUUCUAGAGCCUUGCACACAAUGCCAGUUCUUGAAAUAUUUCAUAAAGCAAAGCUAAUGAAAUAAACAAAGACGUGGCUGAAAGGA